rnacentral:rRNA from 1 species
AAGGGAAGAAAAGGAACCCAAUGGGAUUUCCUUAGUAACGGGGAGUGAAGCGGUAAAAGCUCAAAUUUGAAAUCUGGUACUUUCAGUGCCCGAGUUGUAAUUUGUAGAAUUUGUCUUUGAUUAGGUCCUUGUCUAUGUUCCUUGGAACAGGACGUCAUAGAGGGUGAGAAUCCCGUUUGGCGAGGAUACCUUUUCUCUGUAAGACUUUUUCGAAGAGUCGAGUUGUUUGGGAAUGCAGCUCAAAGUGGGUGGUAAAUUCCAUCUAAAGCUAAAUAUUGGCGAGAGACCGAUAGCGAACAAGUACAGUGAUGGAAAGAUGAAAAGAACUUUGAAAAGAGAGUGAAAAAGUACGUGAAAUUGUUGAAAGGGAAGGGCAUUUGAUCAGACAUGGUGUUUUUUGCAUGCACUCGCCUCUCGUGGGCUUGGGCCUCUCAAAAAUUUCACUGGGCCAACAUCAAUUCUGGCAGCAGGAUAAAUCAUUAAGAAUGUAGCUACUUCGGUAGGGUUAUACCUUUUUGAAAUACGGUUACCCGGAAUUGAGGACGGCCCUCCGGCAAGGAGGUGGGCUUAAGGGUUAAAGGCCGCCGGUCUGA